UACAGAGGCCUCGAGCGUUAGGCGGAAUCACUGGGCUUAAAGCGUGUGUAGGCGGACUUCUAAGUACCUUGUGAAAUCCCACGGCUCACCCGUGGAACUGCUCGGUAUACUGGUCGUCUUGAGCCUUCUAGGGGCGAGUGGAACAAAUGGUGGAGCGGUGAAAUGCGUAGAUAUCAUUUGGAACGCCAAUGGUGAAAACAACUCGCUGGGGAAGUGCUGACGCUGAGACACGAAAGCCAGGGGAGCGAACGGGG
rnacentral:rRNA from 1 species